GUAGAGACUUAAAACGCAUACUUCAUAUCCGGAGGAAGGUUCAGGGAUACUGUACCUGGGUGAGGCCUCGCUCCUCUGCAGACAUAGCAGUUAGACUUGUUAUGUUUAGUAGCAUUGUAUUUCAUCCAUUCAAGUCACAAGUUAGUGUCAGAGAAACCUGUCUCUACAGCCCUCUUAUCCUCAAAUAUGGGAUGACUACCAUGUCUUUUAAAGUCCUAAUGUGUGGUUUGAGGGGAUUAACAGUCAUGUGCGUGGCACCUACCCAUUCAGCUGAGUCAUACAUGUCCUGUAAGAAAAAGGUCUCCUGUUUAUUGUAUAAACCUCUUCCCUUCCAAUUCAGAUUUUAUUAGCCGUAAUGCUUGGGAGAAUAGAUUCAAACUUAGUUUCUUACCUUAAAAUCAUUUGGUACCCCCCUUGACACCCCUAUGGCAUUAAUAUACAUAUAUAUAUAUGUGUGUGGGUAAAACCACCCUUUAUAGGGGUACUCCUUUUUGUCCUGAAGCAUGAAUGAGGUGUGUCAAGAGUACCUUGGGGAUUGUCAUGUGUUAUGUGUAUGGACAUAAUAACCUAGGCUAGGGCACAUUUACUUAUUCUUAGAAAUCUUGCCUCAUGCUACCCUAGUACUGGCAGAUUCAGAUCAUUUAAACAUUCAAUAUUAAUAUCACCACAAACUCAAGAUAAGCAGAUGAUCCUGAAGAAGCUUUGACUGUGCGUAUGGCACCUCAGACAUGAGGGCUGCAGGGUAAGGAGUAUGUUUGUUUCUCUUUAGUUUCACGAGGUCCCCUUUUGGGGUAUUUGGCUUUCCAUCGAUGGCAGGUGGUCAGGCAUUAUUAUGGCCAUCAAAACACCCACUUGUUGAUAUUUAUUUAUUUAUUUAUUUAUUUUCAACAAGUAUCUUUGUUCUCUAAGAAUGGAGUUUCAAAAAGGGUUGUCAAGAUCAACAAAUGCUACUUCACAUAAUGCAGAGGCAGGCUUGAUUCUGGAAUGAUGAAUCCACGGGGUGAUCUCUGUAACUUUCACAGUGCACUACUCAGCAUGUGGUCUUGGUUAUCACUUUGGUGGCUGGAUAGGCCUCUGGCCAUCCUGAAAACAUGUCUGCUAUAAUUAGUGCAUAGUUGAAUCAGCCAUUCUUUGGCAUUCUGGAUGUAGUCGACUUGACUCCUCUGGAAGAGAUAAUGAGGUUUGGCUAGAUGCUUUGGCUCCAUUCUUCCUGAGUUGCCCUUGGCACAAAUGGCACAAGAUUUACAGUAACUGUUGGUCAGAGAGGCAAUUCCUGAUACUUCAGAGUAUUUAUUGAUCAAAAGAGUUCAUGAGGGUUCUGGACAGAUGCUCCGUAGGCCCACUGGACCACUGCUGAGUAUAUGUUCUUGGGCAAGUAGAACUUGAGAUUGUUGAAGUACAGCCUGUCUUUAAGAGUUGCCCCUUUCUGUUUCCAGCUUGUGGUUUGUUUGUUUUUUCUUUCUUUCCAGGGUCAGUGGGUAGGAUCUUACAUGGUGAAUAUGGGAGUUUCUUCAGUAGACACUUUUCUGUCCACUUUCCUUAGUGCACUUACAACUUAUUGAACAACUUAGUCAGCCAGAGAGUUGCCACAUGCUUUCUCCGAGAUCAGUCUUCCUUCAGAGAUCUUGCAUGCUGUGAUGGGAGCCUAUAGCUCAACUUCUUGUGCAGACAUUGUUGAGGUGAGAUACCUGGUCCACUGUAGUGACAGCAAAUCCGGAACAGAUCAUAAGAAAAAUGCUAAAAAAAAAAUAAUAGUCAGUGUCUUAUCAUUUCCCCCCUUGGGAAGUGGCAGAAGAGUGGCCAGGUAAAUAGAGUAUCCCUGCAGGGUGACAUUAUCCUGCACAGAAUUCGUCCAUCACAAGGAGAGGUGGGAUAUUGCAUGGAAAGUCUCAGGUAACCAGGGCACCAUUCGACACCAGAGCCUUAACCUGUUAGGGAAUAGUAAGAGCUUGGACAGGCUUUGGGGCCUGUAUAAUUCAGGUAAAGGUAUUGGGGGAACUAGCUAGGACCCUUGCCUCUUGGUCAGGUUUCACUGUGUGGAACAAAAUAAAUAAUAAGGUGAUAGGGGCCUGCAAGUGGGGGAAGGACAUCUGCACCUAGCAGAUUAAUUGGACAGGUGAAAGUAACCACAAAGCAAGGCUUAGUUAACAGGCUACUCCAAAGAGAGCCAUCUACACUUAUGCAGGAGACAACAAUGUUAGACAGGAAUGAGGAGUCAGGCAGGCCUUGCUUGGUACAAAUAGAUGUCAUGUGGCCUGCUAUACAAGGCUGCAUAUAGUUGUUGGGCAUGGGCCUUACUAUGUACUAAAACUUAAGUUAAAAGAAAAUUUGGGACAACCUGAAGUGAUACUUCUCCACAGAUACUAACUCAUCGUUGAUGACAUUGUUAAUACAGGUAGCCUGAUCAGCCAAUUUAUCUUAGGCUUAAACAAGUCACACCAUGUAGUGGAAUUGGUCAUUAGGAUUCGGGAAAUUCUACAGUAAAAGGGCAUAGUAAGGAUGUACGCGAUGUUACUUUAGGAGUAGGCGUAGCUGUGGAUAGGGGUAAAUUAGCCUUAUCCAUUCCCAUAUAUUAUUCCUUUUGUCUUCAGUAUAUCCAAACCAUGUGUAUGUCCAGGCGUUACAAUAUACAGUAAUCCAUUAUCAGUCAUGAUAUUAAAAUCUCAUUCUCAUGAAUUAAAUCAAAGAUUUUAAAUCAACCUCAGAAGCAACAAAGAAUAAAUCUAUUGUUUUUUCUUCUGUAAAAUGAUUGGAGUUACUAUAUAAUUGUAUACACCCAACAUAACAUUGCAUGUUCCUCACUGCUACAUUAGUGCAUCUCAUUCUGCCAUAUGUGCAAACUUGAUUUAAAUUUUUAUUUUAAUUAACCUAAUACUUUCUUAUAACACAUAUAAAAACAAUGAAAGACAGUACAGACUAACAAUUCAUUUAAAACAAUAAACUGACAUAGAUCUCUAUUCUUGUGCUGUUCUUAAUUCUGGAAUCAGCCUGUGUACAGCUGUUGGUACACAUAUCCAUGCUCAUUCCCUAAACUGAUCAUAUCUCUUGAAGUUAUCUGAUUCUUAUAACUUUCUGUGUUACACUGCAUUGCUUGUCUGUCUCCUAAUUUCCAUAUAUUAUUUUAUCAUUGUCCUCAAAUUUUACAAGCGUGGUCAGUCUACAUGCCAUUUGAGUCGGCAGCCAUAUUUUAAACAAUCUAUUCCUUUGUUCGUCAUUUAGGCUGUAUUUGUCCACAUUUGACUCAAACAUUCCAGCAUUAGUAAAUGCAUCCACUGACGUGUCAUAAACUGGAAUACAUUUCACAAUUUUCAUUAAUUGUUCAUGUAUUUUCAAAUUAAGUUUUGCAGCUCUGUCUUGAAAUUUAUAUUUUCUGCAAAUCACUCUGUGAGGAUACAUUUUCAGUAUCUAUUGGUUCUGGGAUUAGAUUCUGUGUCUGUAUUUUUCUUGUAUUAACACACACUUGCUUAACUUCAUUUCUAAGCUGGCAAAUAAGAUCAUUUCUUAGUUCAACUCUAUCCUCUAAUUCACAGACUGUUUCUGACUGUUUACAGCAUGUGCUCCCUGUUACAUUGUUACACUGUUCAUUUAAAUCUGAUUUGUCUUCUGUUAACCCAUUCAAAUCUACUUCUUUUUCUGAUGAUUCUAAAUUGUCUUGACCUGCAUUACGUUUACAAAUCAAUGCACUGUAAGUACAGACUAGUUUCAUAACAUUUCUGAUCUUUUGUUUUUUCUUAUUAACAAACAAUUUCUUGUCAAUUUCACUAUUGGCAAUUUCACAUUGUGUGUAUAAAGAUUGCCACAAUACAGCAUCUGAAUAGCUGCUAUUAUAUGCAAACUGCAAUUUACUUUUCUCUGCAAUAUCAUUUAUGAAUUCCACAAUUCAUUUGUUCCAACAAAAUCCAACUUUCCUUAUUCCAACAUGCCAAUAACCUCUUACUUAACAACAUAUACAAGAUUACACAAAGUUCCUAACUAGGUUAUUCGUCCAGCAAAUAUACCUUGUUUCCCUCACAUUCCUCACUGAGUUUACAAGCAUUUCACCCAUUCACCCCACCCCC